CAAUCGGCCCUUUUCAGGGCCAACAAAACACUCUGUAAAUUCGUCU
rfam:Trachymyrmex cornetzi contig26308, whole genome shotgun sequence.